rnacentral:tRNA from 13 species
GGCUCUGUGGUCAAGGGGUAUGAUACUCGCUUUGGGUGCGAGAGGUCCCGGGUUCAAAUCCCGGUCGAGCUA